GAAACAACCCAGACCGCCAGCUAAGGUCCCAAAGUCAUGGUUAAGUGGGAAACGAUGUGGGAAGGCACAGACAGCCAGGAUGUUGGCUUAGAAGCAGCCAUCAUUUAAAGAAAGCGUAAUAGCUCACUGGUCGAGUCGGCCUGCGCGGAAGAUGUAACGGGGCUAAACCAUGCACCGAAGCUGCGGCAGCGACACUAUGUGUUGUUGGGUAGGGGAGCGUUCUGUAAGCCGUUGAAGGUGUAUCGUGAGGUAUGCUGGAGGUAUCAGAAGUGCGAAUGCUGACAUAAGUAACGAUAAUGCGGGUGAAAAACCCGCACGCCGGAAGACCAAGGGUUCCUGUCCAACGUUAAUCGGGGCAGGGUGAGUCGACCCCUAAGGCGAGGCCGAAAGGCGUAGUCGAUGGGAAACAGGUUAAUAUUCCUGUACUUGGUGUUACUGCGAAGGGGGGACGGAGAAGGCUAUGUUAGCCGGGCGACGGUUGUCCCGGUUUAAGCAUGUAGGCGGAGGUUCCAGGUAAAUCCGGUACCUUUUAACGCUGAGGUGUGAUGACGAGGCACUACGGUGCUGAAGUAACAAAUGCCCUGCUUCCAGGAAAAGCCUCUAAGCAUCAGGUAACACGAAAUCGUACCCCAAACCGACACAGGUGGUCAGGUAGAGAAUACCAAGGCGCUUGAGAGAACUCGGGUGAAGGAACUAGGCAAAAUGGUGCCGUAACUUCGGGAGAAGGCACGCUGAUAUGUAGGUGAAGUGAUUUACUCAUGGAGCUGAAAUCAGUCGAAGAUACCAGCUGGCUGCAACUGUUUAUUAAAAACACAGCACUGUGCAAACACGAAAGUGGACGUAUACGGUGUGACGCCUGCCCGGUGCCGGAAGGUUAAUUGAUGGGGUUAUCCGUAAGGAGAAGCUCUUGAUCGAAGCCCCGGUAAACGGCGGCCGUAACUAUAACGGUCCUAAGGUAGCGAAAUUCCUUGUCGGGUAAGUUCCGACCUGCACGAAUGGCGUAAUGAUGGCCAGGCUGUCUCCACCCGAGACUCAGUGAAAUUGAACUCGCUGUGAAGAUGCAGUGUACCCGCGGCAAGACGGAAAGACCCCGUGAACCUUUACUAUAGCUUGACACUGAACACUGGUCCUUGAUGUGUAGGAUAGGUGGGAGGCUUUGAAGUGUGGACGCCAGUCUGCAUGGAGCCAUCCUUGAAAUACCACCCUUUAAUGGCUGGUGUUCUAACGUGGACCCGUUACCCGGGUUGCGGACAGUGUCUGGUGGGUAGUUUGACUGGGGCGGUCUCCUCCUAAAGAGUAACGGAGGAGCACGAAGGUUAGCUAAUCCUGGUCGGACAUCAGGAGGUUAGUGCAAAGGCAUAAGCUAGCUUGACUGCGAGAGUGACGGCUCGAGCAGGUGCGAAAGCAGGUCUUAGUGAUCCGGUGGUUCUGAAUGGAAGGGCCAUCGCUCAACGGAUAAAAGGUACUCCGGGGAUAACAGGCUGAUACCGCCCAAGAGUUCAUAUCGACGGCGGUGUUUGGCACCUCGAUGUCGGCUCAUCACAUCCUGGGGCUGAAGUAGGUCCCAAGGGUAUGGCUGUUCGCCAUUUAAAGUGGUACGCGAGCUGGGUUUAGAACGUCGUGAGACAGUUCGGUCCCUAUCUGCCGUGGGCGCUGGAGAAUUGAGGGGGGCUGCUCCUAGUACGAGAGGACCGGAGUGGACGCAUCACUGGUGUUCGGGUUGUCAUGCCAAUGGCAUUGCCCGGUAGCUAAAUGCGGAAGAGAUAAGUGCUGAAAGCAUCUAAGCACGAAACUUGCCCCGAGAUGAGUUCUCCCUGAGACUUUAAGUCUCCUGAAGGAACGUUGAAGACGACGACGUUGAUAGGUCGGGUGUGUAAGUGUAGCGAUACAUUGAGCUAACCGAUACUAAUGAACCGUGAGGCUUAACCUU
rnacentral:rRNA from 1 species